UGCGAGUCGAGAGUCUUAGGGACUCGGCGUACCGCUCAGUAACACGUGGGUAACCUGCCCUAUGCUGGGGAAUAACCUCGGGAAACUGAGAAUAAUGCCCCAUAGUCCACCAUGCCUGGAACGGUUGGUGGAUUAAAGCUCCGGCGGCAUAGGAUGGGCCUGCGGCGUAUCAGGUUGUAGGGGGUGUAAUGUACCCUCUAGCCAUCAACGCGUACGGGUGUUGGGAGACAUAGCCCGGAGAUGGAUUCUGAGACACGAAUCCAGACCCUACGGGGUGCAGCAGGCGCGAAAACUUGGCAAUGCGAGAAAUCGUGACCAGGGAACUCCAAGUGGCUGGGGUAAGACUCAGUCUUUUCUUGACUCUUCAAAGGUCUUGGAAUAAGGGGUGGGUAAGGACGGUGCCAGCCGCCGCGGUAAUACCGGCGCCUCAAGUGGUAGUCGAUUUUAUUGGGCCUAAAACGUCCGUAGCCUGUUUGGUACAUUCGUGGGUAAAUCAACCAGCUCAACUGAUUGAAUUCUGCGAGCACGGCCAGACUUGGGACCGGGAGAGGUGUGGGGUACGCUCAGGGUAGGGGUAAAAUCCUGUCAUCCUGAGCGGACCACCUGUUGCGAAGGCGCCACACUA
rnacentral:rRNA from 1 species